AUCUUGUGAUUAAACAGACUUAUUGUAGGUUAUUUGACUGAUUUACAGAUCAUGGACUAUUUUUCUGUUUUAUAUUAGGAUACUUUUUUAAUAGAUUUAAAUGUUUCCAUAUCUCAGUGUCUUUAGAGUAUCCUGUGAGGCAGAUCAACGUGCCCUAUGGUCAGGAGGAGAGCAGCAGCUUGAAGGUUUUGGGGGAAACAUUUCCCCCAGAUGAAUCCAAAUGUAGAGGCCUUUAAGACGGGCAGGAGGAGGAGACUUGUUCCCCUACAAAAAAAAGAGUUGUUGUCAAGACAAUGGAGGAUAGAGAUGGUGUGGUUGAAUUGGUGGCUCAACAAUUUGUCCAAGGGAGCAUGCAGGUGGUCUUGGAGCAGUUCAAAUAUGGUCCCAACUCUCUUGGGCUGCUCAAAGCAUUGGGGAACCACCCGGACAGCCUCCGAGCACUUUUUGUGGGGACCUGCGGGAUCUGUUUAAAAUAACCUGUUCCAUGCCUGGCGGCAACCGGCGGUGUUUGGAGAACGACACCGUCUGCCACUGGUUCAACUGGCUGGCUGAGGUGGAAGAUGGAGAAUGUCCUCCUCUAACAGUGGCGAUGGUGUUGGAGUUUGCUACUGGGGCAACGGUGAUGCCACCCCUUGGGUUUGAGGACACCCCGACCAUCGAAUUCCUCACACACAGCGCGAGGGAGUCUCGCUAGGCAGUAGAAGAAAAAGUACCCAGUGGCAAACACGUGUGCUGUGACACUAAGGCUCCCUCUUCAUAGCACCUACAAUGCCUUUAGGGAAUUCAUGACCUCCGGUAUUGUGAAUUCCCCACAUUUCGGUGUUGCAUAAAAACAUUUUUACGACACAUAAUUGUAUCUAGUAGCACUAAACUACAGUAGCAAUUGAGUGUCUGAAAAUGUAACAGCACAUCGACAUUUAAGCAUUUAUCUACUUGUUUGUAUGGUAUUCAGACCUCUUGCCUUUUUAUUACGUUACAGCCUUAUUAAAAAACGGAUAAAAUUUUCCCCCUCAUCAAUCUACACACAAUACCCCAUAAUGACAAAGCAAAAACAGGUUUACAUUUUUGCAAAUGUAUAUAUAAAAAAAGAGGAUAUAUUACAUGUAUGACCCUUUACUUAGUACUUUGCUGAAGCAGCGAUUACAUCAGUCUUCUUGGGUAUGACGCUACAUUUUAAUUUAUUUAAUAGAUUUUAGAAUAAGGCUCUAAUGUAACAAAAUGUGGAAAAAGUCAAGGGGGUCUGAAUACUUUCCAAAUGCACUGUAUUUCCAUAUCGGCUGUUAUUGUGCACUUAAUGAUCCUUUAAAAUUAAAUUAUUA
ensembl:lncRNA